rnacentral:rRNA from 1 species
UACAGAGGUCUCAAGCGUUGUUCGGAUUCAUUGGGCGUAAAGGGCGCGUAGGCGGCGGGGUAAGUCUGGUGUGAAAUCUAGGAGCUCAACUCCUAAACUGCACUGGAUACUGCUCUGCUAGAGGACUGGAGAGGAGACUGGAAUUCACGGUGUAGCAGUGAAAUGCGUAGAGAUCAUGAGGAAGACCAGUGGCGAAGGCGGGUCUCUGGACAGUUCCUGACACUGAGACACGAAGGCCAGGGGAGCAAACGGG